UACGGGGGAUGCAAGCGUUAUCCGGAUUUAUUGGGUUUAAAGGGUGCGUAGGCGGGCUUUUAAGUCAGCGGUAAAAAUUCGGGGCUCAACCCCGUCCGGCCGUUGAAACUGGGGGCCUUGAGUGGGCGAGAAGAAGGCGGAAUGCGUGGUGUAGCGGUGAAAUGCAUAGAUAUCACGCAGAACCCCGAUUGCGAAGGCAGCCUUCCGGCGCCCUACUGACGCUGAGGCACGAAGGUGCGGGGAUCGAACAGG
rnacentral:rRNA from 1 species